rnacentral:rRNA from 1 species
UCCGGAGGGUGCGAUCGUUAAUCGGAAUUACUGGGCGUAAAGGGCGCGUAGGCGGUGGGUUACGUCUGCCGUGAAAUCCCCGGGCUCAACCUGGGAAUGGCGGUGGAAACGGGCUGACUGGAGUAUGGGAGAGGGUGAUGGAAUUCCAGGUGUAGCGGUGAAAUGCGUAGAGAUCUGGAGGAACACCAGUGGCGAAGGCGGUCACCUGGCCCAAUACUGACGCUGAGGCGCGAAAGCGUGGGGAGAAAACAGG